rnacentral:rRNA from 1 species
UUCUGCGGCCAGAGCAGAGAGGUUCACCCGGACCCAUUCCGAACCCGGCAGUUAAGCUCUCUUACGUCGGAUACUGUACUGAGAUACGCGAGUUCUCGGGAACUAUUCAACGCUGCACCCC